rnacentral:sRNA from 1 species
UAGUCUUUUAUAAAACAUUUUUCUAAAAAAAACGGAUUAUAAUAUAUAUAUAUGUAUUUUUUAAUUUAGUCUUUUUCAUGUUAACACCACCUUGAUUUUAUCCUCUGUUCUAAUACCAUUUGUCUCACCCGUCUCCCUCAACGUUGAGACGACAUGCUUUCACCUUACUUAACAUAGACAACGUUUCCAAAAAGACCAUGAUCGAUUUGCAACGUUUCGAGACCGACAAAUGACUGGAUUUCAUUAUAAUUUUCGAGAUCAACAU